rnacentral:rRNA from 1 species
UACGUAGGGUGCAAGCGUUGUCCGGAAUUAUUGGGCGUAAAGAGCUUGUAGGCGGUUUGUCGCGUCUGCUGUGAAAUUUCGGGGCUCAACCCCGAACUUGCAGUGGGUACGGGCAGACUAGAGUGUGGUAGGGGAGACUGGAAUUCUUGGUGUAGCGGUGAAAUGCGCAGAUAUCAGGAGGAACACCGAUGGCGAAGGCAGGUCUCUGGGCCAUAACUGACGCUGAGAAGCGAAAGCAUGGGGAGCGAACAGG